rnacentral:rRNA from 1 species
UACAGAGGUCCCAAGCGUUGUUCGGAUUCACUGGGCGUAAAGGGUGCGUAGGCGGUCGGGUAAGUCUGAUGUGAAAUCUCUGAGCUCAACUCAGAAAUGGCAUUGGAUACUAUUCGGCUAGAGAGUCGGAGGGGGGACUGGAAUACUUGGUGUAGCAGUGAAAUGCGUAGAUAUCAAGUGGAACACCAGUGGCGAAGGCGAGUCCCUGGACGACUUCUGACGCUGAGGCCCGAAAGCUAGGGGAGCAAACAGG